CUUGAAUAUUUGAUACUUAAUUAUUUACUAAAUUAUUUCACGGAACACCAGUGUUCUGCAGAACGAGAGUUGAGAACCACUGCUUUAGAGCAUUCUUUCAGAGAUUCUUUACAUAUUUUACUGGGCAGGAGUCUAUAACUCAGGAAUGUAGUAUCAUUGUGGUGCAUCCUUUGGUCCAUGGCUAUAUUUAUAACUUUGUUAUAGCUAUUUUGAAAAAAAUCAGUUAGUGUUGCAUAGUGUGAUGUAUUGAUUAUGAUAACCGCCUUAAAGCAUGGAUAUAUCACAACAUGUUAAAGCAUAAAAAUUGCAUCCAAUAGACCAAUGACACACACCCAACUGAAGGCCCCAGAGAGGAGAAUACCUACACUAUCUCUGUCCCAUACCACAUGGCAUGGUCCAACAUACUCAGGAAGUUAGCCAGAGAAUGGCACAAGAGAUUGGUGACAAAAAGAGAACCCACUGUUUUCCAGCUUCUGCAUAAUGAUAAAGAUAAAUGGAAACAGCAUCAAAAAAUGGGAAUAUACAAAAUUUCAUUAGUUAAUGUUAUAUACUAUAGAUGUGACUCAAAGGCCAUUAAACUACAGACAUAAGGAGCAUAAGAGGGAUAUCAAGUUAGGAAACCUCAAGAUAUGCCUAUGAAGAGGAUGUAACAAUCCUUUGGGAAGAUGCAAAAGUAAUCAGACAGAUAGGUACUAACAAAGAAAAGUUUGUAGUUGAAACUUUGGAGAUAAUAAUUUGCAAAGGAAAGAAGAUGUUAUUAAUAACAGAAUCUCUGAGCAACUCUCAGACACUUGGUUAUAUGCAUUGAAUGCUCUGUACUCAUAAACCUUCAUUUAUAAAUCAGUACUCUAUGCUCUGUCACAAUAUAUAUUUUUACAAUAGUUUCA
rnacentral:lncRNA from 1 species